UACGAAGGGGGCUAGCGUUGCUCGGAAUCACUGGGCGUAAAGGGUGCGUAGGCGGGUUUUAAGUCAGAGGUGAAAUCCUGGAGCUCAACUCCAGAACUGCCUUUGAUACUGAAAGUCUUGAGUAUGGGAGAGGUGAGUGGAACUGCGAGUGUAGAGGUGAAAUUCGUAGAUAUUCGCAAGAACACCAGUGGCGAAGGCGGCUCACUGGCCCAUAAUGACGCUGAGGCACGAAAGCGUGGGGAGCAAACAGG
rnacentral:rRNA from 1 species